rnacentral:tRNA from 1 species
GGGGUUGUGGCUCAGUGGUAAAGUGCUUGCCUCGCUCAUGCAAGGCACUGGGUUCGAUCCUCAGCACCACA